rnacentral:rRNA from 1 species
GUAGGUGGCAAGCGUUGUCCGGAAUUAUUGGGCGUAAAGCGCGCGCAGGCGGUCCUUUAAGUCUGAUGUGAAAGCCCACGGCUCAACCGUGGAGGGUCAUUGGAAACUGGGGGACUUGAGUACAGAAGGGGAAAGCGGAAUUCCAAGUGUAGCGGUGAAAUGCGUAGAGAUUUGGAGGAACACCAGUGGCGAAGGCGGCUUUCUGGUCUGUAACUGACGCUGAGGCGCGAAAGCGUGGGGAGCAAACAGGAUUAGAUACCCUGGUAGUCCACGCCGUAAACGAUGAGUGCUAAGUGUUAGGGGGUUUCCCGCCCCCCUUAGUGCUGCAGCUAACGCAUUAAGCACUCCGCCUGGGGGAGUACGGCCGCAAGGCUG